rnacentral:rRNA from 2 species
GACGAACCGUGCGAACGUUGUUCGGAAUCACUGGGCUUAAAGGGCGCGUAGGCGGAUCAGCAAGUCCGGGGUGAAAUACUUCAGCUUAACUGGAGAAGUGCCUUGGAUACUGCUGGUCUCGAGGGAGGUAGGGGUCAUUGGAACUUCUGGUGGAGCGGUGAAAUGCGUUGAUAUCAGAAGGAACGCCGGUGGCGAAAGCGAAUGACUGGAUCUCUUCUGACGCUGAGGCGCGAAAGCUAGGGGAGCGAACGGG